UAUAGAAAGAGAAGCACAAGUAUACAAACUUUUGAGAAAAUGCCUUCACUGUUUCUAAAUUAAAUUUAAUUUUCUUGUUUCACAGAUGAGAAAAUCAAAGCCCGUAUCAUCUGCUUCACGUCCCGCAUUUACUUAACGCUACCAGGCCUUCUUUUUCUUGAAGUGCUCUUUGAGCCUAUGUGGUUCCAGCAUGAGUCUCCUUGGGGGAUAUGUUAGGGGAUGCUGUCAGAACAACUACUUCUUGAGAAGUCCAAGGAACCGGCAGAAACCUUUACCAAAAAGAUGAUCAACUCAGAUACUGCUGCAGUGCAAAAGGACAGGCAAGGAGAAAGUAUUUUAAACACAGAAGGGAGUAAGGGAAACGGGAAGAAUACCACGUGCUUCUGCUAUGUCCUGUGUCACAGAAACAUCAGCAGCCACAACCAGACAGCCACACCCACCCCGGGAGCAAGAGCUGGGAAGAACCACAGCCCUGCGAGAGAAAUCUCACAGGCCAAUGGACCAAAAAGGGACAUGCAGUUUAAUAUUUUUCCUGCAAAAUGCAAUUUUAAAUAAUGACAAUAGAUCUAUAGAGAGAUAUAAAAUGAAAAAUCAUUUAUACCAAAUCUUAUGCCUCUUAUUCACUCCUUAACUCAUAUACUAAAAAUUCUUCAGCAUGCAGGCUCUGUAACAGGCCAUGAGUGUGCGUUUUUAAAACAGAAAGCAAAGCAGCCUAGCACAUUAUA